UACAGAGGUCCCAAGCGUUGUUCGGAUUCACUGGGCGUAAAGGGUGCGUAGGUGGCGGGGUAAGUUUGAUGUGAAAUCUCCGGGCUCAACCCGGAAAUGGCAUUGAAUACUAUCCCACUCGAGGGUUGUAGGGGGGACUGGAAUUCUCGGUGUAGCAGUGAAAUGCGUAGAUAUCGAGAGGAACACCGGUGGCGAAGGCGAGUCCCUGGACAACUCCUGACACUGAGGCACAAAAGCUAGGGGAG
rnacentral:rRNA from 1 species